rnacentral:rRNA from 1 species
GUCGAGCGGAUGAAGGGAGCUUGCUCCUGGAUUCAGCGGCGGACGGGUGAGUAAUGCCUAGGAAUCUGCCUGGUAGUGGGGGAUAACGUCCGGAAACGGGCGCUAAUACCGCAUACGUCCUGAGGGAGAAAGUGGGGGAUCUUCGGACCUCACGCUAUCAGAUGAGCCUAGGUCGGAUUAGCUAGUUGGUGGGGUAAAGGCCUACCAAGGCGACGAUCCGUAACUGGUCUGAGAGGAUGAUCAGUCACACUGGAACUGAGACACGGUCCAGACUCCUACGGGAGGCAGCAGUGGGGAAUAUUGGACAAUGGGCGAAAGCCUGAUCCAGCCAUGCCGCGUGUGUGAAGAAGGUCUUCGGAUUGUAAAGCACUUUAAGUUGGGAGGAAGGGCAGUAAGUUAAUACCUUGCUGUUUUGACGUUACCAACAGAAUAAGCACCGGCUAACUUCGUGCCAGCAGCCGCGGUAAUACGAAGGGUGCAAGCGUUAAUCGGAAUUACUGGGCGUAAAGCGCGCGUAGGUGGUUCAGCAAGUUGGAUGUGAAAUCCCCGGGCUCAACCUGGGAACUGCAUCCAAAACUACUGAGCUAGAGUACGGUAGAGGGUGGUGGAAUUUCCUGUGUAGCGGUGAAAUGCGUAGAUAUAGGAAGGAACACCACUGGCGAAGGCGACCACCUGGACUGAUACUGACACUGAGGUGCGAAAGCGUGCGGAGCAAACAGGAUUAGAUACCCUGGUAGUCCGCGCCGUACACGAUGUCGACUAGUCUUUGGGAUCCUUGAGAUCUUAGUGGCGCAGCUAACGCGAUAAGUCGACCGCCUGGGGAGUACGGCCGCAAGGUUAAAACUCAAAUGAAUUGACGGGGGCCCGCACAAGCGGUGGAGCAUGUGGUUUAAUUCGAAGCAACGCGAAGAACCUUACCUGGCCUUGACAUGCUGAGAACUU